GGGUCAGUAGGUUGGUCGUGCCACCGGUACGUACUGGUCUCACUGAUUUCUCCUUCCUGAAGAACCGUAAUGCCAUUAAUCUGGUGUUGCGGGGAAACAGGACUGUUACUUUGAAAAAAUUAGAGUGUUUAAAGCAAGCUAACGCUUGAAUACAUUAGCAUGGAAUAAUGAAAUAGGACGAUCGAUCCUAUUUUGUUGGUUUCUAGGAUUGACGUA
rnacentral:rRNA from 1 species